rnacentral:rRNA from 1 species
GCAGUAGCCGCGGGAAUACAGAGGGUGCGAGCGUUAAUCGGAUUUACUGGGCGUAAAGCGUGCGUAGGCGGCUUCUUAAGUCGGAUGUGAAAUCCCUGAGCUUAACUUAGGAAUUGCAUUCGAUACUGGGAAGCUAGAGUAUGGGAGAGGAUGGUAGAAUUCCAGGUGUAGCGGUGAAAUGCGUAGAGAUCUGGAGGAAUACCGAUGGCGAAGGCAGCCAUCUGGCCUAAUACUGACGCUGAGGUACGAAAGCAUGGGGAGCAAACAGGAUUAGAUACCCGCGUAGUCCCUGUCUCUUAUAA